GAAGAAACAACCAGCCACAUGAAGGCCAGCCUAGGCCUCUCACUGAAUUUCCAGUAGAGCAAGCCAAGCUAGCUAGUGCGCCUCGUACGCUCGUACAGAAUCAAUCGAUGGAUCCCAAGUCAAACGCAUGCAUGCAAAAUAUUCCAACUAAUCCACGGGACAAACUAGUCGGCCAGGCAGCUUUUCAUAACUAAUCUGCCUGGGGAUAUAUAGUCAACUAUAUUCUGUUCCUUUUUCUCCCCCCACCACAAAUUGUCUCCUCAUGUUUUCUGCAAAGUACUCAGUACUAGUACCAGGAGUAUUUACAAUCUAGAGUAGUGUCCAUGCAUUCUAUUUACAGCCCUGCCGACUGGCUAGGACGACGUCCAGGUCCAGCGGCCGGCGGUGCAGCCAUCGAGGAUGGCCCGGCCGAUGCGGCCUUCUUCUUCUUCUUCUUCUCCGUCGCCGGCUAGUACUUCCUCCGUGAGAGCGCGGAGCUCGCUGGCGCGCAUCCGCACGGCGAUCACCCGCCGCUGCUGCUGGCCGCCGAAGACCACCGGCGCCGGACAGUACGGGUGCACCAUGGACGACGUCGACGCGCAGCUCCCCAUGUAUACAAACACACACUUAAUUAAUUGACCGAUGGAUCACGAUUUGUAGCUGUACGUACUACACAGUACUGCUUUGUACCUGACGCACUUUCACAUGUCUAAUAUAUAUAAAUGGAUCGGAGUUAGUAUAUAUGUAUACAUGGAUGGACGGAUGGGAAAAUGGUGUAAACAAGAAAGAGCAGCAAAAAGAAGAAGAAACACGCCGCACACGCAGAAGCAAUGAAACGAGCAAAGCAAGCGCAUGAAUGAGUGAAUGAAUGCAUGCAUGGAGAGUUGGACAAGCGUCAAGACAACCAGGGCUCCAUGCUGUGGCAUAUAUAUGCCACUAUAUCAAGCGUGA
rnacentral:lncRNA from 1 species